rnacentral:rRNA from 1 species
AUUGAACGCUGGCGGCAGGCCUAACACAUGCAAGUCGAGCGAGCGGCGGACGGGGGAGUAAUGUCCGGAAACUGCCUGAUGGAGGGGGAUAACUACUGGAAACGGUAGCUAAUACCGCAUCCCAUCAGAUGUGCCCCGAUGGGAUUAGCUAGUAGGUGGGGUAACGGCUCACCUAGGCGACGAUCCCUAGCUGGUCUGAGAGGAUAACCAGCCACACUGGAACUGAGACACGGUCCGGACUCCUACGGUAGGCAGCAGAGGGGAAUAAUGCACAAUGGGGGCAAGCCUAAUGCAGCCAUGCCGCGUGUGAGAAGAAGGCAUUCGGGUUGUAAAGCACUUUCAGCGGGGAGGCGUUACCCGCAGAAGAAGCAACGGCUAACUCCGUGCCAGCAGCCGCGGUAAUUC